UGUCCUCUGUUCCUCAG
rnacentral:miRNA from 1 species